GAGGAAGUGGAAGAGAGUGAGUGUCUCCA
rnacentral:piRNA from 1 species